rnacentral:rRNA from 1 species
CUAAAGUAGUAGUAGUUAUGUUCUUGAAACUUAAAAAAUUUGGCGGUAUUUUAGUCUAUUCAGAGGAACCUGUUCUGUAAUCGAUAAUCCACGUUGGACCUUACUUAAAUUUGUUUAUCAGUUUAUAUACCGUCGUUAUAAGAAUAUUUCAUAAGAAUAAUAAUUUUCUAUAAUUUUUAUAAAAAUUUAUAUCAGAUCAAGGUGUAGCUAAUGUUUAAGUAGAAAUGGGUUACAAUAAAUUUAUUUAAAUGAAUUAAUUUUUGAAAUAAAAUUAUGAAGGUGGAUUUGAAUGUAAAAUUAUAAAGAUUAAUAAUUUGAUUUUAGCUCUAAAAUAUGUACACAUCGCCCGUCACUCUUAUUAUUAAGGUAAGAUAAGUCGUAACAUAGUAGAUGUACUGGAAAGUGUAUCUAGAAUGCAGUUUAAAGCUUAAAUAGUAAAGCAUUUCAUUUACAUUGAAAAGAUUUUUGUGCGAUUCAAUAUAGACUGAGUAUAUUUUAUUUAUUAAUAUAUUUAUUUAUUGAUUUUUAUUUAUUAGAAAUAACUAUAAAGUUUAUGUUUUAGUAUUGUAUAAAAAAUAAAUAAUAUUUAUAAUAGUGAAUUAGUAUUGUGAAAGAAAAUUGAAAUAAUUUGAAAAA